CCUACGGGUGACUGCAGUGGGGAAUAUUGGGCAAUGGGCGCAAGCCUGACCCAGCAACGCCGCGUGAAGGAAGAAGGCCCUCGGGUUGUAAACUUCUUUUAUUCGGGACGAAACAAAUGCCGGUACCGAAUGAAUAACCCACGGCUACCUACGUCCCACCAGCCGCGGAAAUACGUAGGUGCCAAGCGUUAUCCGGAUUUAUUGGGUGUAAAGGGCGUGUAGGCGGGAGAGCAAGUCAGACGUGAAAUUCCAGGGGCCAACCCUGGAACUGCGUUUGAAACUGUUCUUCUUGAGUGAUGGAGAGGCAGGCGGAAUUCCGUGUGUAGCGGUGAAAUGCGUAGAUAGACGGAGGAACACCAGUGGCGAAGGCGGCCUGCUGGACAGUAACUGACGCUGAGGCGCGAAAGCGUGGGGAGCAAACAGGAUUAGAUACCCCUGUAGUC
rnacentral:rRNA from 1 species